rnacentral:rRNA from 1 species
CCUACGGGAGGCAGCAGUGAGGAAUAUUGGUCAAUGGACGAGAGUCUGAACCAGCCAAGCAGCGUGAAGGAUGACUGCCCUAUGGGUUGUAAACUUCUUUUAUAUGGGAAUAAAAUGCUCCACGUGUGCGCUUUUGUAUGUACCCUAUGAAUAAGGAUCGGCUAACUCCGUGCCAGCAGCCGCGGUAAUACGGAGGAUCCGAGCGUUAUCCGGAUUUAUUGGGUUUAAAGGGAGCGUAGGUGGAUUGUUAAGUCAGUGGUGAAAGUUUGCGGCUCAACCGUACAAUUGCAGUUGAAACUGGCAGUCUUGAGUACAGUAGAGGUGGGCGGAAUUCGUGGUGUAGCGGUGAAAUGCUUAGAUAUCACGAAGAACUCCGAUUGCGAAGGCAGCUCACUGGACUGCAACUGACACUGAGGCUCGAAAGUGUGGGUAUCAAACAGGAUUAGAUACCCCGGUAGUA